rnacentral:rRNA from 1 species
UGGGGGAUAUUGCACAAUGGGCGAAAGUCUGAUGCAGCGACGCCGCGUGGGGGAUGAAGGCCUUCGGGUUGUAAACUUCUUUUGCUCUGAACAAGGCAUGCCUUUGGGGUGUGUUGAGUGUAGGGGUUGAUUAGCGCCGGCUAACUACGUGCCAGCAGCCGCGGUAAUACGUAGGGCGCGAGCGUUGUCCGGAAUUAUUGGGCGUAAAGGGCUUGUAGGUGGCUGGUUGCGUCUGUCGUGAAAGCUCAUGGCUUAACUGUGGGUUUGCGGUGGGUACGGGCUGGCUUGAGUGCAGUAGGGGAGGCUGGAAUUCCUGGUGUAGCGGUGGAAUGCGCAGAUAUCAGGAGGAAUACCGGUGGCGAAGGCGGGUCUCUGGGCUGUUACUGACGCUGAGGAGCGAAAGCGUGGGGAGCGAACAGG